rnacentral:rRNA from 1 species
GACGAACGCUGGCGACGUGCUUAACACAUGCAAGUCGAACGAAGAGCGAUGGAAGCUUGCUUCUAUCAAUCUUAGUGGCGAACGGGUGAGUAACGCGUAAUCAACCUGCCCUUCAGAGGGGGACAACAGUUGGAAACGACUGCUAAUACCGCAUACGAUCUAACCUCGGCAUCGAGGAAAGAUGAAAGGUGGCCUCUAUGUAUAAGCUAUCACUGAAGGAGGGGAUUGCGUCUGAUUAGCUAGUUGGAGGGGUAACGGCCCACCAAGGCGAUGAUCAGUAGCCGGUCUGAGAGGAUGAACGGCCACAUUGGGACUGAGACACGGCCCAGACUCCUACGGGAGGCAGCAGUGGGGAAUCUUCCGCAAUGGACGAAAGUCUGACGGAGCAACGCCGCGUGAGUGAUGACGGCCCUUUCGGGUUGUAAAAGCUCUGUUAAUCGGGACGAAAAGGCCUUUCCUGCGAAACCAGUAGAAAGG